GGAACCCGGCAGGUUCCAGGAAGAGCGCGGCCUUGCGGGCACCUUCAUCCCCGACCUCCGGCCCCCAGAACUGGGGGGCAAUAAACUCCCGUGGGUUCAAGCCACCCGACCGUGCCACUUUGUCACGGCAGCCCAGGAAAGUCACAGCCAGUUCUGGAGAGGCUCCUGGCCGCGUUGAGCCAUCGCUCCUUUCAAAGCUGCCGCUCCCCAUCCGGACCCGGGUGAAGCCGGCGCCUGUGCGGAUCUUCCCGGAAGGCGCCCACAGCAAAGCUAAACCCAGGGCACUGCGGCCUUCGAUUCGGAAAGGCUACGCCCCCCACCCCAGGAGACCCAUCCCGGGUAACCCCGCUCUCAUCUCUUCUCUGAAACAGUGACCUCCGCUCUUUGUAGUUGAUAGCUUGGAAAAGGUCUUGACCCACCCACCGUGUUAAGCAAUUAUUGUUUUGCACAGCUUCCUGACAGUCCCAAGGAGAGAAAGCAAAUGACAGAACCAAAUACACAGAAUUUUGCUCAGCAAGUGGAGAAAGAGAAGGGAAAGCCAUUCUUCACCUUUUCCAGAAACACAUUUUUGUUUUGGUCAAUUUCUCAAAUAAAUUAUCAUCUUGUCUCACUG